rnacentral:tRNA from 1 species
GCAUCAUUGGUCUAAUGGUUAGGAUUGCUGCCUUCCAAGCAGCCGGUUCGGGUUCGAUUCCCGAAUGAUGCA